UAGGUGUAGUAGGUGGCUACUUUGUUUUCAAAGAGGAAAGUCCGAGCUACACAAAGACAGGAUUCCAUUUAACAAAUGGCUAGAGUAAUCUAAGGGAAAGUGCAACAGAAAAUAACCGCCACUUGUGGUAAGGGUGAAAAGGCGGGGUAAAAGCCCACCGAUUUUGGAGCAAUCCAAAAUGCCGUGCAAACCCAAUCCGUAGCAAGAGAAGUUGGUUUGAAGUCUUUGAUUUUUGCUUCUCGCUUGAUGGGUAUUGUGAAAUACCCACUAGAUAAAUAUCCACCCACGACAGAACUCGGCUUAUCGCUACGCCUAUCAC
rnacentral:RNase_P_RNA from 2 species